AAACUUAUGUAAUCUAGAGUGCUUCUAAGAUAAGCAAAUAUUACAACAGUAAGAACAAAGAUGUUUCACGUUUCAAGCAACAGCUUCGUGAAGAUUGAAGAGUAAGAAUGUUUUUGUAUGCGUUGAUGUUUCAGUAUUUUCCUGCUACUUGUGUCUUCAAUGUUGAUUGCAGCCCAUUUUAUAUAUCAGUGAGGUAGUAGUUGAAACUGAUGGAUAAUAAAAUGAAUUUACGCCAUAACUUAAAUAGCUUCUUGUCAGA
rnacentral:lncRNA from 1 species